rnacentral:misc_RNA from 1 species
UCCAAAGAGAUCAAGUCAAAUCGUACCCGUAAGAUCGAAGUGAUGGGCGAUCUCCCGCGCAAUCAGGGUUCCAAGCGUAGCCGUUAUCAUGUGCUUCGAGGAUGUGGUCUUAGCGCUCCAAACGGUCGGCCAGUCGAUGGCGGCGUACGGAACGACGAUCUUGUUUAGUCCGUGUAUCGCCAAACUGGUCGCCUGGUAGGGCGAAGCGAAGUACGCCCAACUAAAUACAAAUGUUUUUUGUCUUAGCACACCGCAAUGAACGAAGUCGGUAAAACAUUUCGAAAGCUGCAUUCAUUUUCAUGUUAUCGUAUCUUCAAAGUGGUUACCAGUCAGCUCCUUAUCGAGAAAAAGAAGAUCACGUUCAUGAGUUCAGUCUAUACCUUCUGUUCUUCUACAAUAUUUCAUCCAAACUAAGGCGAUCGUCAGCUGCCUUCAUUACAGUACUUACGACCGACCAGUUGUCAAGAUAAUUCGACUUUUGCGGUAAUGCUAUCGACAGACCGCGAAGCUUCUUCAUUAAAUUGGAAUUCUUUACAUCCGUCUGCCACUUUGCUCUUAUCAGACCCGAUUCGAAGGUUUUCUUCAACUCCGUGAACAUCUCUAUCACCUGUGUAUUAGUAGAAAACGUUCGGUUAUUCAGAUAAGAUCCAGUUAUGAACUCGAAAAACCGAAAGACUUUUUUCCGAUUACCGUAGCAUUCAUGGCCUCAAGAUCUUCAGGGCCAAAGGAUGACAUGUAUAGCAUUGACGCAUGCGGCUUCAUGAGGCUCGUU